rnacentral:ncRNA from 1 species
UUCUCCGGAGAACCUCAUUUUUAUGAGUGCCGAAGGUGCAAGGGAAGUAUUCCUAAUCUCUCAGGCAAAAGGACGGAGC